UACAGAGGGGGCAAGCGUUGUUCGGAAUUACUGGGCGUAAAGGGCGCGUAGGCGGCCUUCUAAGUCGAACGUGAAAUCCCCGGGCUCAACCCGGGAACUGCGUCCGAUACUGGAAGGCUUGAAUCCGGGAGAGGGAUGCGGAAUUCCAGGUGUAGCGGUGAAAUGCGCAGAUAUCGGGAGGAACACCAAUGGCGAAGGCAGCUCGCUGGGACGGUACUGACGCUGAGGCGCGAAAGCGUGGGGAGCAAACAGG
rnacentral:rRNA from 1 species